rnacentral:lncRNA from 1 species
UUAUUGAUUUUGAUUCUUCAAUCAAGAGGCUGCAGACUGGCGGGGCGCUGUCAUUUCUCUACCUCCACCUCAGGCCUUGGGAGCUGGGAACCUAGGGAAGCGGGGGGCCACCCCCUCCAGCGCCGCCGCCUCCAAUUACCCAGUGAGGCCGAUCCCCUUUACACACUCCCUCCCCCAAUUGCACACACACACACACACACACACACACACACACACACACACACACACGCCGGCAUCAGGCUCAGCAAAUGCAGUUCCAACGAGGACAAGGACGUUAAAAAUAAGUAAAUAAAACCCAAAGCCCUUAGCCCCCUCUCCCAAUCUGAUGCGCCCCCUUCCAAGAAAAAAAAAAGCUCACCAUACAGAUUAGCGGUCUAACCCCAUCCCAGCUACUUCUCUUCUGCAUUUCCCUUAUUGAGGAAGAAAUCACAAAAUGAAUGAAAGUGAUCCCUGGGCUAUUUCCUACCUAUUCCCCCUUCCCCUUAGGCCCCCAGCCGAGAACACUUAUACAUGGGCUGCUGAGUUGUGAUGACUUUACCUGCGGGUCUCCCCGGAGGCUGCUCCUGCCCAAGCCGCAGAGAGAGAAGUAAGGAGAAUGAAGGAGCUAGAGGAAGACCCAGAGACAGACGGACAGACUGACGCGCACACGCAGGAGGGUCUCCUCUUUCCCCUCCCCACAGGACGCUGGGACCCUGGCCAAUUGGAUAAGGAGAACCCGGCAAGCCCGGAGGGGAAACCCGGGAAAGGCAAGGAAGGGAAGAAGGGAAGCCGGCAGGCUGGGAGGAGGGAAGGGGGACCAGCGACACUUCCGCUAGGGGAGGGUGCUGCCCUGUGACGCGAGCCAGGCCCUCCCCUUCGCCGCCUGUAGUCAGCCUCCUAAGCCUGCCUCCUUUGGUCCUCGGCACCUCCUCCUUGGCUCAACUAGGGGCCGCCCCGCACCUCCAGCCCCGGCUGGCCCGCUGGGAGCUGCAGAAAUUCGCUGUCUCCCUCUAUCCCACCUGGGAGAUGAGGAAACUAGAACCCAGAGAAUUCGGUGAUUUGCUCAUGAUCCAACAGCUGGUUAAUGGCAGAGCCCAGGUUAGUACUCUGCGCUCCUGCCUCCCAGGCCCAUGUUCUUUCCACUACAUCAUUUCACAAGCCAUUAUUAAAUGGCUCCCCAUCUCUUGCCCUCAGCCUUCUUUUCCUCUAGCUGCUGACCUACAUAGUCAGAAAGUGACAUUUAUUUUGUUCCUGGCCUAGAGCUGCAGGGAGAACCCUGGCCCAGCUCUCAGGAGUCAGAAGGGGCUCCUGAAAUUAAUAUUGGUAAAUCAAGCCCAAACCCUUGCACAAGUGUUAUUAUUAUUGUUCCCCAUAUAUCCUAAAAUAAUUCCUGUAAAUAAUUAUAAAAAUAAAUCUCGGUGACAAAUUGUUUUAUUUUAUUAU